rnacentral:rRNA from 1 species
GACGAACGCUGGCGGCGUGCCUAAUACAUGCAAGUCGAACGCUGAAGGAGGAGCUUGCUCUUCUGGAUGAGUUGCGAACGGGUGAGUAACGCGUAGGUAACCUGCCUGGUAGCGGGGGAUAACUAUUGGAAACGAUAGCUAAUACCGCAUAAGAGUAGAUGUUGCAUGACAUUUACUUAAAAGGUGCAAUUGCAUCACUACCAGAUGGACCUGCGUUGUAUUAGCUAGUUGGUGGGGUAACGGCUUACCAAGGCGACGAUACAUAGCCGACCUGAGAGGGUGAUCGGCCACACUGGGACUGAGACACGGCCCAGACUCCUACGGGAGGCAGCAGUAGGGAAUCUUCGGCAAUGGACGGAAGUCUGACCGAGCAACGCCGCGUGAGUGAAGAAGGUUGUCGGAUCGUAAAGCUCUGUUGUAAGAGAAGAACGAGUGUGAGAGUGGAAAGUUCACACUGUGACGGUAUCUGACCAGAAAGGGACGGCUAACUACGUG